rnacentral:rRNA from 1 species
GACGAACGCUGGCGGCGUGCUUAACACAUGCAAGUCGAACGGAAAGGCCCUGCUUGCAGGGUGCUCGAGUGGCGAACGGGUGAGUAACACGUGGGUGAUCUGCCCCUUACUUUGGGAUAAGCCUGGGAAACUGGGUCUAAUACUGGAUAGGACCAUGCUGUAGGUGGUGUGGUGGAAAGAUUAGUUUCGGUAAGGGAUGAGCUCGCGGCCUAUCAGCUUGUUGGUGGGGUAAUGGCCUACCAAGGCGUCGACGGGUAGCCGGCCUGAGAGGGUGGACGGCCAGAUUGGGACUCAGAUACGGCGCAGACUCCUACGGGAGGCAGCAGUGGGGAAUAUUGCACAAUGGGCGCAAGCCUGAUGCGGCGACGCCGCGUGGGGGAUGACGGCCUUCGGGUUGUAAACUCCUUUCAGCCAUGACGAAGCCCUUGUGGUGACGGUAGUGGUAGAAGAAGCACCGGCUAACUACGUG